AAUAGGAGGACUGGACUUACUGCAGGGGGGAAAUAGGAGGACUGGACUUACUUCAGGGAGGAAAUAGGAGGACUGGACUUACUGCAGGGAGGAAAUAGGAGGACUGGACUUACUGCAGGGGGAGAAAUAGGAGGACUGGACUUACUGCAGGGAGGGAAAUAGGAGGACUGGACUUACUGCAGGGGGAGAAAUAGGAGGACUGGACUUACUGCAGGGAGGGAAAUAGGAGGACUGGACUUACUGCAAGGGGAAAUAGGAGGAGGACUGGACUUACUGCAGGUGGGAAAUAGGAGGACUGGACUUACUGCAGGGGGAGAAAUAGGAGGACUGGACUUACUGCAGGGGGGAAAUAGGAGGACUGGACUUACUGCAGGGGGAGAAAUAGGAGGACUGGACUUACUGCAGGGAGGGAAAUAGGAGGACUGGACUUACUGCAGGGGGAGAAAUAGGAGGACUGGACUUACUGCAGGGGGGGAAAUAGGAGGACUGGACUUACUGCAGGGGAGGAAAUAGGAGGACUGGACUUACUGCAGGGGGGAAAUAGGAGGACUGGACUUACUGCAGGGGGGGAAAUAGGAGGACUGGACUUACUGCAGGGGGGGAAAUAGGAGGACUGGACUUACUGCAGGGGGGGAAAUAGGAGGAGGACUGGACUUACUGCAGGGGGGGAAAUAUCUGCUGUACUGGACAGGUGCAGAAACAGGACAGGGGUCCAGUUUCAUUCCAGCCUGUAUGACUGUGUCUGGACUUUGCCAUGGUUGAUCUACAGUUGUUGAAUAAUAUUUCUGGUCAUGAACCUCCUCAGUACCAGUGCUAGGCAGCACUGAGUGCAAAUGGGACUAAAUUACUGGAUGUAAUGGACAUUUUAACAGUUGUUUAAUUUAGUCAAUUAAUGUGUGUAAUUUUGUGCAUACUGGACAUUCGUUUUGACUUAAUGUGUCAAUUAAAAGGGGUUGAAUAAUU